GCCUAACACAUGCAAGUCGAGCGCCCCGCAAGGGGAGCGGCAGACGGGUGAGUAACGCGUGGGAAUCUACCCAUCACUACGGAACAACUCCGGGAAACUGGAGCUAAUACCGUAUACGUCCUUCGGGAGAAAGAUUUAUCGGUGAUGGAUGAGCCCGCGUUGGAUUAGCUAGUUGGUGGGGUAAUGGCCUACCAAGGCGACGAUCCAUAGCUGGUCUGAGAGGAUGAUCAGCCACACUGGGACUGAGACACGGCCCAGACUCCUACGGGAGGCAGCAGUGGGGAAUAUUGGACAAUGGGCGAAAGCCUGAUCCAGCCAUGCCGCGUGAGUGAUGAAGGCCCUAGGGUUGUAAAGCUCUUUCACCGGUGAAGAUAAUGACGGUAACCGGAGAAGAAGCCCCGGCUAACUUCGUGCCAGCAGCCGCGGUAAU
rnacentral:rRNA from 1 species